GAUGAAAACGCAGCGAAAUGCGAUAAGUAAUGUGAAUUGCAGAAUUCAGUGAAUCAUCGAAUCUUUGAACGCACAUUGCGCCCAUCAGUAUUCUGUUGGGCAUGCCUGUCCGAGCGUCAUUUCAACCCUCAGGGCCCGUUCGCGGGAACUGGUGUUGGGGAUCGGCCUCCCCCCGGAGGCCGGCCCCGAAAUGCAGUGGCGGCUCUACCGCGAUCUCCUCUGUGUAGUAGCGAUACCUCGCAGCUGGAUAGUGGUGGUGCCACGCCGUAAAAUCCCAACUUUACCAAGGUUGACCUCGGAUCAGGUAGGAAUACCCGCUGAACUUAAGCAUAUCAAUAGCGGAGGA
rnacentral:misc_RNA from 1 species